rnacentral:rRNA from 1 species
GCCAUGCAUGUCUCAGUACAUACCGAAUUAAGGUGAAACCGCGAAAGGCUCAUUAAAUCAGUUAUGGUUCCUUAGAUCGUACCCACAAUUACUUGGAUAACUGUGGUAAUUCUAGAGCUAAUACAUGCAAACAGAGCUCCGACCAGAGAUGGAAGGAGUGCUUUUAUUAGAUCAAAACCAAUCGGUUUCGGGUUCGCGCUCGUCAUCGUACAACUUGGUGACUCUGAAUAACUUUAAGCUGAUCGCACGGUCUCGCACCGGCGACGCAUCUUUCAAAUGUCUGCCUUAUCAACUGUCGAUGGUAGGUUCUGCGCCUACCAUGGUCGUAACGGGUAACGGGGAAUCAGGGUUCGAUUCCGGAGAGGGAGCCUGAGAAACGGCUACCACAUCCAAGGAAGGCAGCAGGCGCGCAAAUUACCCACUCCCGGCACGGGGAGGUAGUGACGAAAAAUAACGAUACGGGACUCAUCCGAGGCCCCGUAAUCGGAAUGAGUACACUCUAAACCCUUUAACGAGGAUCAAUUGGAGGGCCAGUCUGGUGCCAGCAGCCGCGGUAAUUCCAGCUCCAAUAGCGUAUAUUAAAGUUGUUGCGGUUAAAAAGCUCGUAGUCGAAUUUGUGUCUCGCGCCGCCGGUUCAUCGUUCGCGGUGUUAACUGGCGUGUUUUUCGCGAGACGUCCUGCCGGUGGGCUUAGUCGUGUCGCGUCGCCGUCGCGCGUGCGUUUCGGCGUGCGUGUUGUGCGCGUCGUGGUUACGACGGCCCAACUCAAUCCUGCCGCGGUGCUCUUUACUGAGUGUCGAGGUGGGCCGGCACGUUUACUUUGAACAAAUUAGAGUGCUCAAAGCAUGCUAAAAUUUCGCCUGAAUACUGUAUGCAUGGAAUAAUGGAAUAGGACCUCGGUUCUAUUUUGUUGGUUUUCGGAACCCCGAGGUAAUGAUUAAUAGGACCGGAUGGGGCAUUCGUAUUGCGACGUUAGAGGUGAAAUUCUUGGAUCGUCGCAAGACGA